AUAGACGAUAUGUGGUGCGCCUUUUAGCUUUACAAAGUGACAAUAACAGAUAUUCAAAAAUAUAUCCCAUCUACAGAAUUUACCCACCACCACAAAUAAUUAAACAGUGAUACAAUUUUAUCAAAAUGAUACCAGUAGAAGAUUGUGUUUUUCUUCUAUAUUCCAUUAUAAUACGUAGGAUGAGGACUCCUCCCAGAGUAAGAUCUACUUUUACUUAUAAACGAGUGACAAUGGGUAUAAUUACAAUGUCUACUUUGGUAUAUUAUUUAUAUAAAAAAUUAAGUAAGGUAUCCCUCCGGAAAAGAAUAACAAACGUAACUUCUUCCACCUCUAUCAUAGAAUUGCGCGAAACUUUAUAUUAUCUUUACAAAAAUUUAAAGAAAUGCACUUUGACUACUUCAGGAAAUAUAAAAAAAUCAAUGGACAGAUUAAUAUUUGGGAAGCAUUUGGACAGUUUACCUUUAACUGAUGGAUUUCCAAUGAACGAAGCCUUAGUCAAUUUAUGCAAAAUACUCAAAAAUAACAGAGCUGUUGUACACAAUACAAAAAGUAAACGUGUAUUGCGAAGUCUAGUGCAAAGCCGUAAAAAUAAAAAAAUUCAAUCAAAAAGUUCAAGUUUCGUUAGAAAGACACGGAGUGGACGCGUAUAUGCAAUUUAUAAAUAAUUAUUAAAUGUAAAAACUACAUUUGUAUAAACAUACCAAUACAUUAUAUGUAAUUAUAAAAUAUAAAUAGUAAUAAAAUUCGUUGCAAUUA